rnacentral:rRNA from 1 species
UACGUAGGUGGCAAGCGUUAUCCGGAAUUACUGGGCGUAAAGCGCACGCAGGCGGUCUUUUAAGUUUGACGUGAAAGCUCCCGGCUUAACUGGGAGAGGUCGUUGAAUACUGGAAGACUUGAGGAAAUGAGAGGGGUGUAGAAUUCCUGGUGUAGUGGUGGAAUGCGUAGAUAUCAGGAGGAAUACCAGUGGCGAAAGCGGCACCCUAGCAUUUUUAUGACGCUCAUGUGCGAAAGCGUGGGGAGCGAACGGG